rnacentral:lncRNA from 10 species
CUUCCCAAGUGAGAAGCAGCAGGGUGGUGCAAGAUUUCAUCAUGCUUCUCAGAAUGACAUGCAAUUUAAGUCAUAUAAAUUGUUUAUUUCUGGAAUUUUUUAUUUAAUAUUUUUGUACAGCAGUUGACUGAGGUUGAAGGAAAAUUACCCUGGAUGGAAGAUCAGAGGUAUAGAAAGAAAUGGAGAGCAAAGAAAGAGUUUGAUGAUUCCCUCCUUGGAGAUCUUCACCUGCAGUUCCUGGAAUGAGUGAUGCUGCUUCCACAUGGUCAAUUUCACCCCUUCAUAUCUCUUCUGCAUCUAUGACACACCUUUAUCUUCUUGUUGCUGAGGCUGCCUCACCCUUAGCAGAAGCUUUUGGUGGCACUUAUGGCCAGCUAAUCAACUUGACUAUCAGGCAGCACCAUUCCGCAGAGUUGUAUGUGAUCUAUGGAAAAUCGACCCCUCUGCCCUGCUUUCAAUGAACUUGUAACUUACUACUGACAAGAGGCUUCUUAUUCUUCUAUAGGCAGCUCUAGGUACACUUACCUUUGCUUUUUUGUUCAGCCAUGGGUCAAGUAACUUGCUCUCAUGUCUCUGAAAUUCCAGAGAAUGCAUAUUAGCCUCCCAAAUGGUUCUUUUGAGGCCCCCUUCAAUUGAUUUGAGAUGAAAGGGGAGUUUCCUUUCCCUCCCAUGUAAGAGAGAGAUAAUUUAUAAUGCUCUGACAAUAGUCUCCAAAAAAAAAUCCUCAUUAGCAGCCUCUUCACCCUUUCAGUGGAUAUUUAGCUAUCUCUUAGUCUGGAGGCGAAUGAUAGUCUUCAAAUAUCCACUGGAAUGUAAGCAGCAAUAAAGCAGACAUUUUUUAUGUGUUUUGAUUAUUUCUGUGUCAUUUGGUUUUAGAGAAAAGCCUGACACAUAGUAGGCUGUCAAUAGAUAUAUGUUCAACAUAUGAAUGAAUGAAUGAAAAAGCAAUCAGGCACUUUGAUUUAGAAUGUGUGUAUACACACACACACAUCAUAUAUAUAUUUAUAUAUAAAACAACAGAUGUCAUACAUAUACAUAUAUACACACAUCAUAUAUAUAUUUAUAUAUAAAACAACAGAUGUCAUACAUAUACAUAUAUACACGCAUGUAUGUAUAUAUGUAUGCGUAAUGAUAUACAUGCAUGUAUAUACAUAUAUACAUACAUAUAUGUGUACAUGCACACAUAUAUGUGUAUAUAUAUAUAUGGCACUUCUAUUGUUUUCAGAUUUUGGGAUGUCUGCUGAAACAAAAAAAUAGAAACCCCAAAACAAAAAAUCCAAGAAAUAUCAAAUUUAAUAUUCUAUCAUACUUAUUUAAUUUUAAAAUUAUCUUUACAAAGAUAACAAAAUCCAAAGUUUGUGAAUAAUCUUUCAAUGGUGAUAUCCAAAAAUACAUGUGUUUUUCAGGGACCAAAGGCUAUAAAUCCAAAGCCAGAAAUUUAGCUAAUCUUAGGCAGUCCAGAAUAAAUAAGAAAUUUAGUUUAUUUUAGUAAUUUGAAUCAUCCAUUUUAAGAUUAUAAAUCCUAGUUAAAAGCUUGAGAAUCUAUGAAGAAUGUGCAAAAGUAGAAUUUACUAGACUCUGGCUCACAGAAUAAGGUACAUUUUAGGGUCAGCAUCUGGAAAUACCCCUUUCUCAUAUUUCUCUGUUACGUGUCUAUGCCUUUAAAACAGAAGUUUUAAAACUUGUUGUAUGGAUCAUGUUGGAAAUAAAGACUAUGAAUCAA